GAUGAACGCUAGCGGCAGGCCUAAUACAUGCAAGUCGAACGGUGUCUUCGGACAUAGUGGCGCACGGGUGCGUAACACGUAUGCAACCUGCCUUACAUUGGGGGAUAGCCUUUCGAAAGGGAGAUUAAUACCGCAUAAGACAGUAGCUGGGCAUCCAGCAGCUGUUAAAGAUUUAUCGAUGUAAGCUGGGCAUGCGUCCAAUUAGCUAGUUGGUGAGGUAACGGCUCACCAAGGCAAUGAUUGGUAGGGGAACUGAGAGGUCAAUCCCCCACACUGGCACUGAGAUACGGGCCAGACUCCUACGGGAGGCAGCAGUAGGGAAUAUUGGGCAAUGGACGCAAGUCUGACCCAGCCAUGCCGCGUGCAGGAUGAAGGCGUUAUGCGUUGUAAACUGCUUUUAUACAGGAAGAAACGACUCUUGCGAGAGGCAUUGACGGUACUGUAUGAAUAAGCACCGGCUAACUCUGUGCCAGCAGCCGCCGUAACAC
rnacentral:rRNA from 1 species